UCUGCGGAUAGCGCGGGCCAAGCCAGCCUCUUGGCGCUGCAGGGUUGGGGGUUCAGGGCCACUCACCUGAUGGCUCGAACAACCCGAACAAGGCCUAACACGGGGUCUCCACUGCUGAGGGCCCCUCGUUGGAAACUCGCCCGGGGAGGGGCGGAGCUCAGCUUUCCCCGGAUCCGGGUCGGGAGGCGUGUGAGCAUGUCCCCGGGCAGGAGCUUGGGGUCUGAUGGACGCUCCUGUGGAGACCAUGACAUGUGAAGGACUUCUCAGGGACUUCCAGCAGCCAGCUAGCGGAGAUCUAGAGGAAAGAGAGCUGAUCCAAGCAGAGAGAGUCCAGCUGCUCCGCAGAGAACUGCUUUAAGAAGGGAGGUUCUUCCUAGGUGACAACAACGUAUUCCAAGACUCUUAGUGCUGCUUUAAGCUUUGAUAGCUGUAGAAGUACAAAUGCUACCAACUUACAUACAGCACAUUAUCUGGAAGCUCAGUUAUUCCUUUUGGACUUAUUUAGGUUUGCAAAUUUGGAAUAUUAAACUUUUAAUUCUGUUUGGGGAGGGGGGUUUCAGUCAAGGUAUGCAAUCUAAGAUGGGAAUGAAACAAAACAUCAAAAUUAAAAGCUUAACAUUCCAAAUCUACAAAAAACUAAGUUUAAAAGAAAUAUAACUAAACUUCCACGUGAUGUUCUACGUUUGUAGCAUGGCUUGUUGACUCCUGACUAUAUCCCAGUUUGAGAAACGCAGCAUCCAAACGUACCUGAUGAGCUGGUAGGUGUUCACGGGACCGAAGCAGCCAUGGCCAUUGAUGGUACAUGGCAGAACUCUGGAAAACGGUGGUGAUCCGGGUGCCGCUUGUGAUAAAUGUGUAUGCUGUCUUAAUAAAAGCACAACAUUUUAAAAAGUCUUCUAAGGAAUUCACGCAUCUCCGAGAACAGGACUCCAGACUCCAGUCUGAAUACAGAGCGCCAGAGCAGCAGGGCUUUGUUGAGGACUGGCAGUGUUUGUGUACAGGAGGCUCUGGAGCAAGUCCGCUCAGGAAACCGGCCUGCAGGACAAGGCGGCUCUGGGGCUGCUCUCAGGAACAGGACGCACGGACGAGGGCAGCCAGUUAGCCCAAUGCAUUCGCUGCACAAGGGUUUGCACUUUCCAGGAGCAGCCACCGAGCCCGGAGCCCCCUGUCUUGCAUCGUGGUGGAGAAGCACUGACACAUGAUGAUUCUCCAACUUCCCUUUUCCCAGCGGCUCCAGGAGCACCCCUGCCCCAGCACCAUUUCUAGGUAAAUAGCAAUUGUGCUCUCCACUUGGCAAGGAAGAGACUUGGCUCAGAUCGGCGGAACUCCAGAGCCUGUGGCGCUGGCUGCUUUCUGCGUGGGGCUAACCUCGCCAGGGAACUUUAUAUACCCUGGGAGACAGUGAAAGCAACUUCUUAACCUCUUUCCCAGUUCUGCCUGCGGCAGUCGGACCGCUCAGCUCAGAUGACUUCUUCCCAGGAGUCCCCCCUCACAUCUGCCGGGACCAGCUCCCCCUUCACCCCUACUGAGUCAGUGCUAGGAACUAGGGAGCACCCACCACCCACGCCGCGCACUUCCUGCCGGCUCAGCAGCCGGCUUGGCCCGGGGCCAGGGCCAGCCCGGGGCCUGGGCUGCCUCCCAGCAGCCUGG